GUAGACUGCCAUAGUAGUUAGGUCACACCCAGUCUCCAUUCCGAACCUGGAAGUUAAGCUAACUACGUUGUCUGUUUUAGUUUCUGAAAAGAAGCGAAGCAGCAAUGCAGUCUUUU
rnacentral:rRNA from 1 species